AUUUUAUUGCAGCUUAAAGAUUAAUCUGUAUAAUAUUGGGUAAUUAUUUCUAAAGUUAUUUAAUAAUUUUUUUUAAUUAAAUUAAUUAUUUUUAGUAAAAUAAGCCAACAUGUUUAGUUGAAUUCAGAGAUUGUUCAACCACAUAUGGGUAUGAAAACGACCCUAUCUUUUUGACAGCAGUGAGGAAUUUUGGACAAUAUGCGAAAGCAUGAUCCAGCGAACUGAUGGAAAUGAAGAAGGUAUGUAAUACUGUAAAGUUUUGUGCGAGAAAUAACAAAUUGAGUAAAUUUUAGGAGAAGCUCUGGCUAAUACAUGUGCCAGCAGCCGCGGUAAUACAUGAGGAGCAAGCGUUAUCCACAUUGACUGAGUGUACUAAAUACUACGGUGAUUACAAUUAGAUUUUUGUUAAAAGGUAUAAAAACUUAAAAUAAAAAUAAAUUCGUAAAUUCUAAUUUUUAAUAAGAAAAUGGAGACUUAUAGAACAGCGAUUAAAUGCAGUCACACUAUAUAGCUUGCCAGAAACUAAGGUGCUUUUCUAUUAAAAAUUUUAGCUGAUGUAUGAAAGUAUGGGUAUCGAUAAGGAUUAGUUUCCCUAGUAGUCCGUACUGUAAAAGAUGAAUACUUUAUGAUUUUUUUAAUCAGGAAUAGUUAACGCAAAGUAUUCCGCUCGGGGAGUAUUAUCGCAAGAUUAAAACUUAACUGAAUUGGCGGGAAUUUGUUCGAACGGUGGAACAUGUGGUUUAAUGCGAUAAUCCACGCAAAAUCUUACCAACGUUUAAGGCUUUAUUAGUAGUAUAAUUAAUAUUAAAACUAAUUAAUAAAGUACGGAAUUGCAUGGCUGUCGUCAGUUCGUGCUGUGAAGUUUCGGAUUAAGUUUUUCUUAACGAAUGUAACCUUAUAAGUAAGUUUUUAAUGGUUAUUAACUAAAUAUAAACUGUUAUUUUUAUUUAAUCUAUUUUCAAUUAAAAUAAAUUUCAUUUUGUUUAUUUUGAGGAUAGGGGUUAUAAGCUGAAGUCAAGUCCCUAUGGUCUUUAUAUGUUGGGCUACACACGUGUUACAAGGGUAAAAACAAAGAGACGCAAUAGAGCAACCUGGAGCUAAUCUCGAAAAAUUACCUUAGUUCAGAUUGUUUCAUGAAAUUCUGAAGCAUGAAGAUGAAAUCGUUAGUAAUUGUAAAUUAUAAUGUUACAGUGAAAUAAUAGUCAAAUUUUGCACACACCGCCCAUCACGCUCGGAAAGUCGAUAUUGGUGGAAGAUUUGAAAAAGCUUUCAAAAAACAAUUAAAUUUAUUUAAAAAAAUCUAGUUGUUGUUUUUAUGUUAUUCUUUAACGUUGUCAGUAAGAGUAGUAUUGAAUCUAGUAUUGGUAAUUUGAGUGAAGUUGACACAAGGUACUGGUAGGGGAACCUGUUGGUGGAAUACAUAAUUAA
rnacentral:rRNA from 1 species